CGGGGCGCUGGGGCAGGCUGGGACGCUGCUGUGAGCAGGGGACAAACCCCUGCAUCCCUGGUACUGCAAUGCGAGAGCCUUCCAGAGGACUGAGUGCACAUCCAUACCUCGAGGCCCAGCACGGAAAAUGCAUUCCAGUGACUCCUCCUGGCCGCACCUCCGCCUCUCAGCCGCUUCGAGAAUACCCAUGGCCUGAUUGAGUUCCUGGUGGCGCUGCCUUGGGGACGCGGACCUGCUCUGUUCAUCUUUGUAUCCUUCAAGACACAGCACCCAGGAACGCUUAAUGGACUCCUCCUGCCCUUGGAUUGUGCCCACUUUGCAGCGAGAAAGCCCUUUGGGAUGUGUGUUUGUGUGUGUGUGUAUAAAACAGCAGUGUCUCUGGAGGCAGAGGGCAGACUGUUCUCCAGAACAGCGUCCAGUGUUCAUGCUGGCUUUCUCCGUCUUGGAAUAAUUCUUAAGACAUUUUAUUCACAUAUUUCCUUCAAGGCUCAACACAAAUGCCGUCUCUUUUAGUCCCCUUCGGGAAGCCACCUCAUACCUCUUAGAUGCCCUUUUCAGCUUAGGUCAAGGUUCUUCGUGGGCGUGGCUGUUCGCUACAAACUCCCUCUUUAAUCAAUUAGUAACUUCCCCUAAUUCCUAAUUUAGUAACUAUCUUAGUAACUUCCCCUAACUACAGAGCCGUUUGCUUAUGCUUAGCAGGAUUUGUUGAGUGAAUCCUUGUAUGUAGGCCAAGUCCACCCCUCAUACGUCUUGGAACAAACUACGUGGGAAAAUAAAAUUUCAGGAAGACUUAAAAAAGAAGCUCAAAGUGCUACCCUAUGCAGUAGUCUUCUUUGUCAAGCAAGCACUUUGCAUUUUAAUAGCCUUGCCCUGAUUUUUGAAAAGCACUUUUACUUUUCUGAAUAUUAGAAUCAGAAUUUAAUCGAAUUUUGUUCUUGGUAUAAUUAAAUAGGAAUAAUUACUAUUAUCUCUAAGUUGGCUUUUCCAUGUUUGUAUCCGGAAGGCUUUUAACUCACCGAAGAAAUCAAGCCCAAGGAUAAGUAACUGAGUGCCUUAGCUGGGUCAAAACUUACCUUCAAGGUGCGGCACAAGGACUCAGCAGCCCUUCACCAACUACCAGGUUCAGGGCAGACAAGUCUCUUCAACCAUGAAACGCUCAGGUUCUCUUACACAGGAAUCGACCACAUCCUCUCAUUAGCCUGAGGCUCAAGAGCCCCAUGGGAACUAAGCAUAUGGCUAUAAUUGGAGCCUAGACAUAUACAGACCUGUUUGAUCAGAGGCUGAUUUCCCAUGAAGCUAAUGAAGCUGAAGCUUUAGGGCCCCUCUCUUGCACAAGCUUCUUUCAAGGCCCUGCAUCUAAUUGUGUGUUUAUAAGCUUGUAUUCUUGUUCUUUAAGUCCCCCAUCCCCAAUAGCUGUGUAAGCAUUUAGGGCCCACCAUACCUGAACCCCCCCUGUGCCUGAUGGAUGUUGGGAGUCACAGGGGUGAUGAUGGUAGUUUGUUCCCAGGAAAGGGCAACGAGACUGCUGGGAGAAUAAUAAUAAAAGAAGAACUUACUGGACAGCUUGGUAAACUGUGUUGGAGAGCACCUGGAGUUGAGCCGCCAUCACCCCAUCAUCCCCUCUCCCCCAACAGCCGUGUGCCUUGGGAAGGAGAGAACUACGUUAAAACUGGAGGAACUGGGAAUUCCCUGGCAGUCCAGUGGUUAAGACUCCAGGCUUCCACUGCUGGGGCCCGGGUUCGAUCCCUGGUCGGGGAACUAAGAUUUCGCGUGCUGCACGGUGCGGCCAAAAAAAAAGAAAAAAAAAAAGGCGAAGGAAUUAUCACCAAGGACCCUUCUGAAGUUCCAAUUAGCAGCAGACACCCCUCUAAUCCCCUUUGGGGAAUUAGGGAGACCUGGGCAUUUGGCAGGCUAUUUCACUGGCAGAAUCAGUGAAAAGCGGCUAAACCUGUGGUUCUCACAGUGUCCUCCCCAGACCAGCGGCACCAGCAUCAUCACCUGGGAACUUAUCAGACAUGCACAUUAGCAGACCACAUCCCGGACAUGUGGAAUCAGAAACUCUGGGUUGAGGUCCUGAGUCUGUCUUUUAACAAGCCACUGGGUGAUUCUGAUACAUGCUCAAGUUUAAAGACUAUUGCACUAAGUUGCAACAUGCCAGGAACUACAAACAGUUGGGACUCCUCACCUUCUAGUCAACUUUGUUCUCUACCCAGAUUAGUAACUAUCGGAAGCAGAGUUAAAAGGGACUCAGGUGAACUUGGGCUGAAAUCCCAGCCCUGCCUUUAUUAGCUACAUGAUGCUAGGCAAACUACUCAACUAUUCUGGCCUCAGUUUCCUUAUCUGUAAAAUGGCAUCUAAUAAAUUGGGGGAAAUUAAAACACCAUAUGAGGCACAGUGAACGUUCCAAUGAUCAUUGAUUUAUACUCCCACUUCAUUCCACAAAAUAUUUGAGGAGGCUUACAAGAAUACUUUCAUUGUAAUAAAAAUAUAUAUGAAUUAAAAUUUGGGACCUGGAGGGGAAAAUACUGUUGGAGUCCCCAGGGCUCCAUCUCACUGGCUCACUGGUUGACGGCACAUGGGAUCCUGGUAUUUGACACCAUCUAUACUCUUUUUCAAGUCCCAACUUUACGUCACCAGCCAGACCUCACUGUCCCUGUUGCUGCAUCUAUUUGACAUCUGAAACUCACACGAACUCCUUAUCUGUUCCCCAAACCGCUUCCACCCACAGCUUUUCCUGUCUCCAGGGCAACUCCAACCACCAGUUGCUGCUUCUCAUCACCUCCAUGGUAUACUCUGGGAUGAGCCCCGUCAUCUUCUACCUGGAUCUCUGCAAGAGCUUCCUAACAGGUUUCUCUGUGCCCGACUGUAAAAGGAAAAUUUUCCACUUACAGCCUUUGCCUAGGAGAUAUCAAAAUGGGAUGCUAUGUUAUACCGCAACUGGUUCAAACCAACUGAAACUGAUAAAGGACUGUGAACUUUGAGUGACCCCUAGGCCAGACCCUUAUUAGACCUAACUGAAGACUUGUUUCUGCCCAUGGAACAAAGUUCCCUGUUUGAUCCAGCACUGUUCUUUCCUAUGAGGGUGCUGGCUUUCAAUCUUAGAUUAGCCUCACCCCCAUGAACCCCCUUUCCUCUUUCUAGCACUUAAAAAACCCUGACUUUUCCCAAUUCAUGAAUUAGUAAACUUUUUCACUGAUGUGUUUCCUUGCCUGACAAGUAUAUAAACUCAGCUUUGAUUUUAUUUUUUUAAGUUCUGGUGGUAUUUGCUUUCUUUUUUGACAUAAAUUUGCAUGUUUAUAGUCUAUUGUCCACAGAGCGGCAGAAUGACCAUUUAAAGCGUAAGAUACCUCCGUGCCUCCUGCAGUGGCUCCCACCUCGGGGUAAAAACCAAAGCUCUUCUGCUGGCCCACGUGGCUCUACACAAUCUGGCCCCCCAUGAACUUUGACUUCCAUUUCUACUGCACUCCCCUGGGGUCAGUUAAUUUCAGCUGAACUCGCCUCCAUUGUGUUCCUCAAACAUACCAGGGAUGCUUCUUCUCCAGGGCCUCUGUCCCAGCUCUUCCCUCUGUCUGAAGUGCUUUCUCCUCCCCCAGUUCCCUGCUUGGCUCACUUUCUCACCUCCUUCCAGUCUUAGCUCUGUCAUCACCUUCUUAGUGAAGCGUACUCUGAUCACCAUUGUUAAUAACUGCAGUUUAAUAAUAUAUCCAACCCCAAGUCCCAAUCCUCCUGACCCUGUGCUUUUUUUCUUUUUCCAUAAAAUUUAUCACUUUCUAUAAUACUAUUUAAUUUACUUAUUCAUUAUGUGUUGUCUUGAUCUGUCUUUCACCUCCAUCUGUUUUGUUCACUGAUGUAUCCCAAGCUUCUGGAAUAUAUUAGGCUCUCAGUAACACUUAUGGAAUGACUGAUGUAUGGAUGAAUGAAUGAAUAAUACCAAAAGAUAAAGAUCGGUAAGACAUAGUCCUUUCCCUCGAGGGAACUUAAAGUCUUAGUGGAUAAGAUAGAUAGGUACAAAAUGUCAUAGGAGGGAGAGAACCAAAGGAGAAAUGAGGAGGAGAAUUAAAUGAAGGCAACUCUGGGUUCCACCAAUGUCUUUAUUUAUCCAGCCUUUGCAACUUCUACUGUUUUUUCUUUGUUUUCAGUUCUCUUUCAUCUAGUUCGGAGUAUGAAUAAAGCCCACAGCAAUAAGGGAAUAAGAAGAAAUGUAGCAUACUGACAAUCUUCUUUAAUGUACAGAGUAACCUGCUCAUUCUGUCUGCUGCGUGCCUUAUUCCUUGGACCCCAGGUGAUGGAGUAACCUGAGUCACUCACUAUAGCACAGUGAAAAGAAUGCUUCAGAGGGGCUCGUAAUGGAAAUUAAAUUAUCUGAUGAGAGCUGACAUUUCAUCACUUCCACUCACAACUUUCGGGGGACGAAAGCUGCCAUGUUAUGAACAGCUCUGUGGAUAGGCCCCCUAGUCAAGGCUGUAGCCCAGAGCCAGAAAAGACCUGAGGCAGCCAACAGCCACAUGAGUGAGCUUGGACGAUAACUGGGAGCCUUGAGAUGACUGUGAAUACAGGCCAGGCUGACCCUUCGAUGCCAGACUUGUCAGAGACCUGAGCCAGAAGCAUCCAGAUGAGCCAUACCCAGAUUCCUGAUAACAAACGCAUGUUGUUUUGAGCAGCUAAGUUGGGGCUAAUUUGUUACACAGCAAUAGAUACCUGAUACAAGGGGUUGUGAAUAUUAAAAAGAAAAAGAAAAUCUUAAAAACUGAUGAAAAUGAAAGGAGAACUAGACUAAUCCAAAAUUACCAAGCUGAUUUUCAUAUUCCUCUAUCAGUAUUUAAAUAGAAAAAGUAGACAGAAAUCAUAAGAACAGAGAUUUACACAACACUUUCCACCAACUUGACCUAAUCAAUGUUUCUGGAACACUCCACCUAAGAAGAACAGAACACACAGUCUUUCCAAGUGCUUAUGAGUUUAUCAAGAUACACCAUCUCCUGGGCCAUAAAACAGUCCUCGAUAAGUUCAUCAGGACUGAAAUCAUACAGAGUAUGUUCUUUCACCACCAUGGAAUUAAAAUAAAAAUCAAUAAUAGAAAGAUAUCAGGAAUAUGAAAACCCCAACAUGUUUGGAAAUUAAACACUUUAAUUAAUGCAUGCGUCAAAUUGGAAAUCUUAGAAUGUACUUCUAACUAAAGGAUAAUGAAAACCCAACAUAUCAAAAUCUGUGGUAUGAAGUUUAUGUAUCACUUAGAAGGAGGAUAACUUUAAAUGCUUACACUAGAAAAGAAGAAAAGUUUCAAAUCAAUGAUGUAGGCUUCUGCCUUAAGAAGCUAUAAAAACAGAAAAUCAAGCUCAUAAAAAUAGAAAGAAGUAAAUAAUAAAGAUAGGAAUGAAAAUUAAUGAAAUAGAAAGCAGGCAAACAAUAGAGAAAAAUCAAUCUCAAAAUUGGUUGUUUGAAAAGAUCAUUCUUUAGAUUCCACAUAUCAGUGAUAUACGAUAUUUGUCCUUCU